rnacentral:lncRNA from 1 species
ACAAAGUCCUGUGGUCUUAUGCAGCCUGACACAUUCUUUGCUGUUCUCUAGAUGAUGACAUCACUUCCUGUGGGUAUGUGCUCCUCAGGUGGUGACCCUGUGGUACAGAGUUCCGGAGGUCCGCUACACUCCGGCUACAUGUCCUCCGUGGACAUGUGGAGCACUGGCUGCAUCUUCGCUGAGCUCUUCCUCCUCAGGUAGGGAGAGCACAGUAAACCACUGUACACCCCCCGCUGCAUCACGGAGACACGCUUGCGUGUAACACACAUCUGGCUGCACUUCUUUUUGGCAGACCCUUGUUUUGCGGCUAUUCUGACAUACAGCAGCUCCAGAAAAUCAUAGAUGUGAUCGGCCUGCCUGCACAGGAGGACUGGCCUACCGAGAGCCCCAUCCCGUACCCUGCCAACUGGAAGAGUGGUAAUACCUUAAAUCAGCUGCUGCCGAACUUGCACCAGGAAGAGAGGGACUUGCUCUUAGUAAGUUUUAAUGGGUGCGAGUCUUGCAAUAGUGUAUAAAGUAGGAGAUGGAAGUAUUUUUUUUUUUUGGAAAUCAGAGCAAUGGUCUUCCUAUUAGUGAAUUGGUCACUGAUUGACGGUACUUUGGGAUUGGCAUAUCCGCAUCUACACUCCUUGGGAUGUUGGUGAAAUGCCCUGUUGGAUUCUGAGUUAAUGAGAAUGACUUUGUUUCUAAAUCAGAAUUCACAGCCCGUUCCUGCCAGGGUGUGAUGGGGGGAACCAGUUUAAAGGCAGCUGGAAUACCUCACUAGCCCAGCGCUGUGAGAAAAGGCUAAAUUGGUAACAGUCCAUUUGAUCGAGGGCCUAAGUUCUGGACUGGAGAUCCUGAUGUACUGUAAGCCACGAGAAGCAGGCUUGAGGACCACUGCAGGGAUACAGGUUUCUUUGCAGGGGUGUGUUGGAACAGGGAAUUGACUGUGUUUUGUCGGUGUGCCCACAGCAGUUUCUGGCCUUUAACCCAUCCAAGCGUGUCUCAGCCUUUGAGGCACACCUUCCUGGCUGAGCAGUAGCACCGCUACCCAGGGACCCUAUGGCUGCUGAAGAGCUGGCGGAAUAACGGUUAAUUCACGGCGGUACCUUCGCUCGAAGGAGAUGAGGACUGUUGCCAGUUAUUCAUUUCAAUAAAAGUGUUAUUUCCUUUCUUCCUUUCUGAAUG